UUCACCGCUUAGCUAGAGAACAAUUUUGCAAUGUGAAACAGCCGAAGUGGAUUUUGAAAAUCUAUUGUUGGAUUCGGACAUUUAGGGCUAUUUGUACGAGCCAGAAUAGACUCGUACAAAUAGGAGAGGAGGAGGCUGAUGCGGAUGCAGCUGAACAAGCAUUGCCUGUUGCCGAGGACGAGGAGCCAGAGCGCGCCGAUGGGAUACAUAUUUCCGGACCCAGAAAGUGAACUGGAAACGCCAGCCUAAGCCCGACAGGAAAAACAGACGUCUGAGCAUAGAAUAAUUACCCAGCACAAGAUGGGCAGUACCGUGGCUACCAGGGGAGCGUGUCUAUGUU